rnacentral:rRNA from 1 species
AGAGUUUGAUCAUGGCUCAGAUUGAACGCUGGCGGCAGGCUUAACACAUGCAAGUCGAGCGGGGAAAGGUAGCUUGCUACCUGACCUAGCGGCGGACGGGUGAGUAAUGCUUAGGAAUCUGCCUAUUAGUGGGGGACAACAUUCCGAAAGGAAUGCUAAUACCGCAUACGCCCUACGGGGGAAAGCAGGGGAUCUUCGGACCUUGCGCUAAUAGAUGAGCCUAAGUCAGAUUAGCUAGUUGGUGGGGUAAAGGCCUACCAAGGCGACGAUCUGUAGCGGGUCUGAGAGGAUGAUCCGCCACACUGGGACUGAGACACGGCCCAGACUCCUACGGGAGGCAGCAGUGGGGAAUAUUGGACAAUGGGCGAAAGCCUGAUCCAGCCAUGGCCGCGUGUGUGAAGAAGGCCUUUUGGUUGUAAAGCACUUUAAGCGAGGAGGAGGCUACUUAGAUUAAUACUCUAGGAUAGUGGACGUUACUCGCAGAAUAAGCACCGGCUAACUCUGUGCCAGCAGCCGCGGUAAUACAGAGGGUGCGAGCGUUAAUCGGAUUUACUGGGCGUAAAGCGUGCGUAGGCGGCUUCUUAAGUCGGAUGUGAAAUCCCUGAGCUUAACUUAGGAAUUGCAUUCGAUACUGGGAAGCUAGAGUAUGGGAGAGGAUGGUAGAAUUCCAGGUGUAGCGGUGAAAUGCGUAGAGAUCUGGAGGAAUACCGAUGGCGAAGGCAGCCAUCUGGCCUAAUACUGACGCUGAGGUACGAAAGCAUGGGGAGCAAACAGGAUUAGAUACCCUGGUAGUCCAUGCC